GUGCGUAACGCGUAUACAAUCUACCUUAUACAGGGGGAUAGCCUUUGGAAACGAAGAUUAAUACCCCAUGGUAAGUGAUUAUGGCAUCGUAAUUACUUUAAAGAUUUAUCGGUAUAAGAUGAGUAUGCGUUCUAUUAGCUAGAUGGUAAGGUAACGGCUUACCAUGGCGACGAUAGAUAGGGGUCCUGAGAGGGAGAUCCCCCACACUGGUACUGAGACACGGACCAGACUCCUACGGGAGGCAGCAGUGAGGAAUAUUGGACAAUGGAGGCAACUCUGAUCCAGCCAUGCCGCGUGCAGGAAGACUGCCCUAUGGGUUGUAAACUGCUUUUAUACAGGAAGAAUAAGGCCUACGUGUAGGUUGAUGACGGUACUGUAAGAAUAAGCACCGGCUAACUCCGUGCCAGCAGCCGCGGUAAUACGGAGGGUGCAAGCGUUAUCCGGAAUCAUUGGGUUUAAAGGGUCCGUAGGCGGGUUUAUAAGUCAGUGGUGAAAUGCUGUGGCUCAACCAUAGCACUGCCAUUGAUACUGUAGAUCUUGAAUCGUUGUG
rnacentral:rRNA from 1 species